CGAAGGGGAAGAAGCGAAGGUGGCAGAUUUGCUUUACGGCACUGCCGGGCACUUUGGGUCGGCCCCGCCCACUGGAGGGAAGAAGAUGGACAUUCAACGAAAUGAGUGAAUUUCAUCUAUUUCUGAUGAAAAAACUGGAACUAAACAAAAAGUUUGAUCUCCAAAUAUAGGACUCAAGAGAAAUAAAAAGGAAUAACCAGCAAGAUGAAUACAGAGAGGACUGGCGAGACUUACAUGAACUGAUGCUAAGUGAAAUGAGCAGAACCAGGAGAUCAUUAUAUACCUCAACAACGAUACUGUAUGAGGAUGUAUUCUGAUGGAAGUGGAUUUCUUCGACAAAGAAAUCUAACUCAGUUUCAAUUGAUCAAGGAUGGACAGAAGCAGCUAUACACAAAGAAAGCACACUGGGAAAUGAAUAUAAACUGUUUGCAUUUUUGUUUUUCUUCCCAGGUUAUUUUUACCUUCUGAAUCCAAUUCCUCCUGUGCAACAAGAGAACUGUUCGGUUCUGCACACAUAAAUUGUAUCUAGGAUAUACUGUAACAUACUUAACACGUAUAGGACUGCUUGCCAUCUGAGGGAGGGGGUGGAGGGAGGAAAGGGAAAAAUCGAAACAGAAGAGAGUGCAAGGGAUAAUAUUGUAAAAAAUUACUGUGGCAUGGGUUCUAUCAAUAAAAAGUUAUUUAAUUAAUUUUAAAAAAAGAUAACUUUUCCAAAAUAUUUAAAGGCAACAGCAAUAUUACUGAUAGAUGGGAGCACAAAUGUCAACUGUGUUUUAAUCCUAGAAUAUGGAAAUCUUACAAUAUAUUCCAUUCCCUAUCCUAUUCCCCAACUGUUUUGCUCUAGACAUCUUGUCUAAUUCUACUCCUAACUCUACUCUUUCCUCUCUUCUUCCAACCAACUAAUAUCCUUUCCUGACUCUUCCAAUUACCAUAUUCUAGAUCUUUCUAGGUUCUACCCCUCUUUCCCUUCCUACUAAUGUAGCCCAGGGAUCUCAUCUGAUUCCUCCUGCCACAACUUCCCAGGCACAGCCUUAAUCCAGAAGCACAAUGGAUCCCCUGUGAUAUCUGGCUGGUGUCACUGGCUGGUAACCAAGGAACUGAAUUGGAAGAGCUCAGGGACUUCAGACAAAGAUGCUGGGAAAAUCAGCCCUGCUGGGAGGACUGGAAUGAAAGCAUGAGUCAUAGGGCAAUUGUUGGGUCUGGGAUAUAUACUGGGAAGUGGGAGGUGGAAGGGAGAUGGAAAGCUGUAAGUGAGAGAUCACAGUUAAACUGGGGUGGGGGCACUAUUUUCCUUUCUCACUACAUGAGGCCUUCUUACUCCAGUGUGUAUAUGAUGUGCCUUAUAAAACUGAGCAGAAAGGUGAUGUCCUGUGUCAUUUCUGUGAGUUGGUGGAUUGUUAGAAUCCUUACAAAGUGAUAAUAAGUCAGUUGCCUAAUUUAGCAGAAUAGCACGGUUAGUUUUCUUGGUGGUCUAUCUCUCUGCUUGGUUCCAAGAGCUCCCUCUGAAUGUCUCUAAAUCCAAAGGUUUGUCCUUCAGCCUCCAGCCAGCACAAAGUUGGAAGAUGGAAUGAAUCUGACUCCACCUCCAAGAGUGGGCUUGUGGGCUUCCUCCCAGAGUGCUCCCUUUUCUGUCAAUCUUCCAAACUAACUAACUGACUGAAGCUCCAAGAGCUUCUUAUAUAUGAUCUCCCAAAGGUUGACUCCUCCUCUGAGAGAGUGGGAUUAUGGGAUCUGAGAGUAGGAUUAUAGGUUUCUGACUUGUGAAUCUCAUACUGAAUACUGACUUGUGAAUCUCCCAAAAGUGUGAGCUCCAAUGAGUACUUAAAUACAUUAGUGAGCUAGAGGAUUUGCUAAAUACCAUGCUAAAUUAGGCAACUAACAUCACUUUAUAAGGAUUCUAACAAUGGAUAGAGCAAGAAAUCCCAGGCUUAAGUUUCAGGAUGGUCUCUCCCUAGCUGUAAGCCCAAUGGGAAGUUCCUUCAACUCUCAAGUUUCAAUUGAGUCACUUGUAAAAGGGGAAUAAUUAUAUAUUGUGACCAAAUAAAUAACAUAUGGUAUGGUGAUUUUCUUCUUUAAAAUAUAAUA